GGACACUGAGGUUCAGAGAGGUUACUUACCUUAAGGUCACGCAGCUACUAAGUGGCAGAAGAGAGGUUCAACUUGGAAGACACUGAAGUCUCUGGAAUGUGUGUGUAUGUGGCUGUGGUUAUAUGUAUGUGAAGAUCUCUCUUCCUCUAAGAAUUUUAAAAAGGAUCAAAAGAGAAAAUACAGGUGAUGAAGUAGAAAUUCAGUCAUGAAAAUAAAAAGACAUAUAUCAAAUAUACAGCAUCCUGGUGUCACAGAACAGACAGAACUGUCCUAGACACUGUGGGGAAAAGAUGGGCACUGGAGAGGGGUGAGAACAAACUUAUUUGCCUGGUGAAUUUGGGAGAAGGAUCUGAGCUCAGCCCCUUCCUUUUCCUUUUCUGGAACCAACCUGCUCUCAUGUUACAAGCUUGGCAGUAUGUGCCUCAAGUCUGCCAGGAUGAUCUUCUCCUGUCGUAUCUGCCCUGCCACACUUGGUUGGCCCUUAUAGACAAGACUGUGUUGUAAUUAUCAUCACACCCUUCAAAGUGUAUACCUGUCAUUCUUCAUCUAUCUAUCCAUCUACCUACCCACAACUCAGCGAGCCUCUACUUUGUGCUAGACCUGUGAACUCAUAGCCCUGAGCAUAAUUAUAUGCUGAGUCCUACGAAUCUUCCUAGGAAAUCACAUAUAUAUGAAUGAAACAUUUUAUAUCGAUUUUUAAAUGCUCACUACAUGCCUCUGAAGCAGUCAAGCAGUUUAUUGUGGUUUAAUGAUGAGAUGCAUGUGCUGAGGAGGUAAUCAGAAGAAGUGAGAAAAGGAGACGGUGUGAAAUUUUGAAGAUUUUAUAUGCCAUGAUGCAGAAAUAAAAGUUCAGCAGGGUCAAGUAAGUUGUCCAAUGUUCAGUAUGAUGGAGUGGGAUUCACAUGCAAGACUAACUACCACUGAACCAUUUACUUCUGACUUUGCUAUUCUGCUUCCACUCACUGAACAUCUCUCUGAGCAAGGCUCAGCACCUGGUAUGAAGGCUGAAACAAGAGCGGUUGCACAGCAAAUGUUUUGCUAUAAUGAGAGAAUACAUGAAUUAAAUGCGAAUUAAACUGCUUCUAUCUCCUUAUGGUGGCAAAUAGUAUCCAUGUGUUAUCGAUGAAGUCAAGUCAAACUUCAUCUAGAUGUAGCUUCUGGAUUCAGACUGUAAAUUCUACAAGGGUGAGAUCUAUGCCAUUGUUUUUCUUCACUGUGUUUGCAGUGUUUAGCUUGGUGCUUAGCAUAAUAAAAGUGGAUGGGUGACAGAGGAAGGAAUUUGUAUACCCCAAAUUUGAAAGGCUUUUCCCCCAGUACAUUUAAACAAAACUUUACUGAAGGUCUACUCUAGGAAAACCAUGCUGGAGCUUGAUUAUACUCAUUCUCCUGUUCCUUUAAGUCUUAGAGGGAGAAACAAAAAUUAUGAGUUAUAGUUACAGAGAUAAAAACCUAGAAAGCUGGGGCAAAAUAUAAAUUCCCUCAUUACUUUGUUUUAGAUAUAAAAUAUAAGAAAACAGUUUAUUCCUGAAUGCAUGUCUGUCUGUUUGGGGAUUCAUAUCUAUAGAUCUAGAAAAAGGCACGUUCCCUAGGCUAGAACAGGGGCUGUGUCAUUAUAUCAGUGGCAAUACAUAUGGGCUAUCAGUGGACUCUUAGAGUUCAUCUGCCAUUCCUCAUCCUCCUUUCCUAGUGCUUUCCAGUCAUUUUAUAAAUUGAAAGAUCUCACUUUCCAAUUGUAGACAGAGCUCCUCUGAGGGAUGUGGAUAUGGGUAGGCAAAAAAUGGAAAAAGAGUAGGCAGAAAGAAGAGUUGUGGGAUAAAGAAAUAAGGAGAAGG
rnacentral:lncRNA from 1 species